UAAAUACUAAGCUAUAGUGAAAUUUACAGAGGAGAGGAAAAUUUAUUCACGGGGAGAAACAAUUUAUAAGGGUGAGAAAAAUUAAGAGAAAAAAAAAACUAAACCUAAAAAAAUAUCUUCUCAGCCGCCGCCCACCAGAGAUUUUUCUUCUCUGCACACAACCUCCCCACUAUCAUCUCCCAUAGCCGGCCAUUUCCCCAACCAAAAAAACCUCACCCUCUCACACUCAGCCGCCAGAGACCCCUCCUUUCCCUUGGCCAAAAAAAAAAAGAACUAGAGAACAAAGGUCCCCCCCUUUUCCUCUGCUUUUCUCCCCUGAGGUCGGCCAUUUCAGAGCCAUCAUCCUCUCCCCUCUCUCGUCCAUUCCUUCUCCCAGCCAACCACAAAUAACCAUCUCCCUGCUAUUCUCUUCCACAGUUGCUCACCGUAGACCGGCCUCCACCAAAACCCAAACCUCCAGCAUUAACGUCUCCUUCCCCAUCAACAACGUCUGUUUCCCCUUGGGUUUCCUCAACAACAACGACCACUAACACAGGAGACCAGCCCUGCAGCGACUCCUUUCUUCCUCAAGCCAAACACAGUGGCAGCCCUUGCUGUCUUCUUCCCAGCCUGCUCUCAGUCCCAUGGCGACAAUAGUGCCAUAGCAACACCCUAGCGCCACCGUUAGCUCCAGCAUCAUCGAGGUCACUGCCAACAAUCCAAGCCCGGCAGAACCCAUAGAACCCCCCUUGGUCUAGCGCAACAACCUCCACUCUCAUCUCGAAGUCGUCCGCCGUCAUGAAGAGGAAGAAUUGAACUCAUAUAUGAAAAGUAAUGAAGACUGGGAACAAAUGAAAAAAAUAAAACUUAAAACAGACUGCUUGUGUUUCUCUUUUUUCCUAUUGCAGGUCACGGUGAAAGCCACUACGGGCAGAGAAUAGAAGAGAGGAGGAAACCGUUCUAGAGCCCCCUGCUUGUUGGACUUUCCUAGGGCGGUGCGUGAACCCAGGCGCCGCCAGUGGCGGCGGCACGUGGAGAAGACACGCCGCCACUAUUCUUACACCUAGAAACCUUCCAGCAUUGUUCCGACCCUUCCCUGCAAUUACUGUAGAUUUUUGGGUUUUUAUUUCACAAUUUUUGAAUUGUAUUUGAUUUAUUUUGAAAUUUUGUUAUUUGUUUUACAUGUAAAAAAGGAUGUAUAAGAAAAUUAAUAAUAAGAAAAGAGAUGUGUGUGUGUGUUUGUAUUUUUAUUUACGUUAUUGAAUUAUAAAAACCAAAAAGAAAAAAAAGAAUUAAGUGUUUAAUUUGAAUAUGGUUAAAUAUCUCAAAGGACAA
rnacentral:lncRNA from 1 species